UGCCGAAGCGGCCAAUGAUGAGAUUGUAAGGCUGCUGACAUGCCCAAAUUACUCGGCUGCAUAAUCUUUGGAGCGGUAUAGGAGCGAUAUUAAUCAGCCGUAAGACUGCCUAUUUGUCAAUGGAAAUUAUUUUUCUUUGGCCGUAACGGAAAUUUUGAGGUGCAAAGGUGUGCUACAUUACACUUCUAUCGCCGUAAUUUAAAGCCGUAGGUGGGCUACUUCGAGCGCAAAAUACUUUUCCGCUUUCGACUAAUUCGUGCGUGAGCGCCUCAGGAAACACUAUUAUUUGGCCACCCGAAAAUGACUCUCCAAGAGAUUUGUGAAGUUAUUAUAGCCUUUUUCCUACCACCAUUAGCAGUGGCCUUGCACAAAGGAAUUGGCAAGGAUUUUUGGAUCAACUUGUUACUGACGUGCCUGAUUUGGAUUCCCGGGAUCAUCCAUGCGCUGUACGUAAUCUGCGCGUCAUAAAUCGACUCCACUUGGCGAUGGGAUACCACGGCGCCGAGCGAGGCUCACACUGCCGAUGGAUGAACAAUUCCUACCUUUUAUCCAAACUAUUUUUAAGGCUAUAUUACUGACUUCCGUAGUCUCUUCAACUAACAAUAAGUGCGGUUCGAUAUGCUUCCCGUACGACUAAUCUUAAAGAUCAGUGCGCGGCAUUUUUAUAACAGUUCAUGGCUUUUCAGAUUCAGAUUCAAUCUAACAAUUUUGAAAAUCGAUUCGAACAAGUAGAUGAAACACCAGAACAAU